rnacentral:rRNA from 1 species
GAUCAUGGCUCAGGAUGAACGCUAGCUACAGGCUUAACACAUGCAAGUCGAACGAGAGAAGAGAAGCUUGCUUUUCUGAUCUAGUGGCGGACGGGUGAGUAACACGUGAGCAAUCUGCCUUUCAGAGGGGGGAUACCGAUUGGAAACGAUCGUUAAUACCGCAUAACAUAAUUGAACCGCAUGAUUUGAUUAUCAAAGAUUUAUCGCUGAAAGAUGAGCUCGCGU